rnacentral:rRNA from 1 species
UACGUAGGUGGCAAGCGUUAUCCGGAAUUAUUGGGCGUAAAGCGCGCGCAGGUGGUUUCUUAAGUCUGAUGUGAAAGCCCACGGCUCAACCGUGGAGGGUCAUUGGAAACUGGGAGACUUGAGUGCAGAAGAGGAAAGUGGAAUUCCAUGUGUAGCGGUGAAAUGCGUAGAGAUAUGGAGGAACACCAGUGGCGAAGGCGACUUUCUGGUCUGUAAACUGACACUGAGGCGCGAAAGCGUGGGGAGCAAACAGG